GCCUGACCCCGCCGCCGCCUCCUUGGGGGCUGUGGACGCGACCCGUAUUACCUCGGCGCCGCCUGGCCCGCCCAUGGCGAGUCGGAGGACUUAGGUCUCCGUGCGCACAGCACCCGGUCGCGGACGCGGGAUUCGCCGCACUCCAGCGCCCGGGGCUGCAAAUGUCUGAGAUUCUACGUGACUGCCGGAGUUGAUCCCACGUUCUGCUCUGGAAAAGAGUUAGAGAUAAAGUUUGGACAGAAAUCCCCCGGCAGCGGUACGCUCCGCUCUUCCCCGGAGUCGAGAGCAGCGCCUCCGGGAAGCGAAGAUUGCCUGCUCCCGAGAGCCUCGGAGGAGCGCCUUUGUCAAGCUCUUUUUCAGCUGGUCUGUGGUUUCUGCCUCGAAAAGGAAGUAAUAAAUCUUUGUGGCCCCAGGGUCAAAGAAGACGCUUCAGCUUUCCUGGGGUGCACUGCUGGGAGGCGUCUGCGCGCUUACCGGACCUGUGUACUGAGCUGCUUCGUUUUUAUUACGCCGCCAGCAGAGAGCUAAUCUCGCUCUUCGGGGUGCUUCGUCCGCGGUGACUGAAGUCCUCCGGAAUUGGGGUGAUGGCGGAGGGGGCGACUCUGUUCUACUUUACAGUAAAACACUUGUCCCGUGUCUCGACUUUUAGAGAUGAGACCAAAGACCUUGACCUCAACGGAAACACUGUUGUUGGAAGUCGAAGGUCAUUUUUUAGCUAGUUUAAAUACAUAUUGUCAGAGAGAGAAUCCUCAGUCACAGCCUCAACUUCAUCUGUAAAAUGGGUGCGGCUUCUAUUUCCUGAGGAGAGAGAAAAGGCGGAUUGGGUGUGCACUGGAAAGGUUAGAGCCCGGCUCAGGCCUGGCGGUGAGAGGACAAACUGCUGCAGGACCAGAAGCUCAGUGGCCGCGGGUACAACGAGGACCUCGCAGAGGUGACCCGACGGACCCCUCACGAACAAAGUUGACAGCGUUGCUGCAAAAUGACUGCUGUACUACUUGAGGCAGCCUGUUUCCGUCGGAGGAUCCUCCUAACUUUAGGAUUUUAAGAUGUUGCCGUUAGAGCCAUUAUUCUUCAGGGAGUUACAGAAUCUUCCAAGUACAAGAUCUCUUACAAAUCGAGCUAAGUCGUUUUCCUUGAGUUUCCACCUCGAUUUUCUAUGGGUUUAGUUUCAGGGUUAAAAAGGGGGGAGGGAGUUCAAAUAAACUGAUCUGGAUCCAUUUUCGCGGGGGGGGGAUGUCACUAAUAGAAUCAACUUCAGCGAAUCCCCCCACCCCACCUCGUGGUUCCGAUAAGGCAUAAGGAGGAGGCGCUAUCGGGGGAAGAGGGGAGUCAAGAUCCACUUGUGUAAGGAGCUUUCUCAAGAAGCACUGCGUCCCCCCCGGAAGUCGGUCAGGACGGACGGAAGUGUUUAUCCCUUUUACAGAUGGAGCUGGUGGUAGGCUUUUAAUGGGCGGCUUUCCACUUUUCUUCUCUGGCCCCUAUUUUCAUUCCAGCGCUGCUUCGAAUAUCCCAGUCCCUUUCUUUCCUCUGCUGUUUCAAAAACAAACCCGAACAAACAAAAACUAAAGUUCUGUUGUCACAUGAAAAGACAGGGAAAAGAGGAGUUGAGAAGAAAAGAAAAUUCGAUCUUAAUAUUUCCGCAUGAUUCCAAGAAAGAUAAAUUCUAAUAGUUUUAGUUUUGUAUCUGCCUUGAUGAUUACCCAGAAAGCACUGAAUUGCAGCUAUUGAAGAUGCUACAGGACAAGGAUCAGCUAACUGGAGCAGCACAUGAUCCGCACAACUAGAGCUGCCACCUCUAGUCUAUCAGCCAUCACCCUGUGGCCUGAAGUGGGCAUCUCGCUUGGUUCUGCUUGCCCCACACCCACUGUCCUUUCCUUUGAACAGGUGACUGGGACAUAGAGAAGAAAGUAACUUAUCUGAAGUUACACAGCCAGAAGGAGAUGACGUUAAGGUCCUUACCCCUCGGCAACGUGAAGCUGUCUCUUGCUUUGGCCAAGAGAAUGCAGUUAGUGAAAGAGAAGUUGUGUAGCCUCAAAGCCUCGCUCUAAAGAGGAUUUGUGGCUUCCAGUCUCAUCCUUUGUCAACAUCCUGUGACCACCAUGGCAUGAAGAAGCCCAGAAUGAAAGAUCAUGUGGAAGGAGAGAGCGAGCAUCUCAGAUGUCCCAGAAUGAGCCCACAUCUGCCUGACGCAUCAAGGACAAGAUCAGCAAAUAACAUCCCAGUCAACCCACAAAACUGUGACAUCAUAAAUCAUUGUCACUUUAAGCCUCUAAGCUGUGGAGCAGUUUGUUAGCAGCCAUAAAUAACUGAUACAGAAACUAAAUUGCAGAACACACUAAGUUCACAGCUGAGAAACCAGAAGUAAAGCGAUUUUCUAAGUCCUUAGUGACAGAAUUAAGAUAGAGACACCAUUCUGGCCUAGGUCUUGCCAUUGACAGAACAAUGUCUGUGCUAAAGAAGCCAUGAGGUGUUUUGGGUUUGCAUUCACCGUGCCCUAGAAGAAGCUCACUCAAAGAUCAGAGCUAGGUGCAUAGAAGAGAAUCCCACCUUCAGCCCCCAGUGGUCAGAUUGUCCCCAACCCCCAGCUUGGCAGGGUACCCAGGAUACCUCAAGAUUGGUGCACGGUGGUGGGCAGUGACAAGUGCAAGAGAAGGGGCCCAUGAUGGAUGCUAGAGGCUUUUGCACCUUGAGCUGACAAAAGGGAGAAGGCAGAAAACAGCUAAGGAAUUAUCUCCUGAUGACCUGAGAUGCAUGUGCCAAGUUGUAAAAUUGCACAUUCACCCCCUUGUUGGGGCAAGGUAGCCUCCAAACACCUGUCACAGGCGCCACCCUGGGCUGCUCAGCCAGCAAAACCAGACAAGCCUUACCUAAGAUAGAAGUGAUCAGGAGUCACUGAAUGAGAAGCAAAGCAAAGGAAGUGAGGAAAAGUUUGGAAAAGGAAAAAGAUUUAAAAUAAGCAGGCAGGGCUCCCAGAAGAGCCUUGGCCCUGCCCUGCCUCAGUUGAUUGCUGUAACACAAGCAGCUCAGGAAGAAGGAAGACAAAGGGUAGCCUCAGCAGCUCAGAACCAUUAGGUCCCCUUUUCCAGCCUGUGCCAGACCACGCUGUUCACCUUCAUGCCUUGGGCCUCGCAGGUAGAUGGUCUUGGUUCUGGCCACCUUCAGCCUCUGUUCUGUCUCACUCUCCCGUCAUGGUACACAGAGAAUCUAAUGUCCUCUUUCCUAUGAAAAUGUGACCGUUCCCUAUUUGCAUGUCACUUUUGAAAUUCUUUCCCACAGCCAUAAACACCUGUACUAUCACUUAGUGUUUUUCUUCAAAGUGACUGACUCCGUUUUUGACUUAAAUAAAGGGAUUUAAGUCAUUCUAAGGAAUAAUACGCAUGACAUCGUGGGUUUGAUGUGCUGUUUAUAGUUUUCUCACCGUGAAUUACAGUAAUUACAUAACUGAAAAAUGUAAAUGUUCUUCAUGUGCCACCUAAAAUCAUCCCACUGGAUGUGUUUCACUCUGAAACCCUAUGGAAAGCUAUCAGUCAGAAUAGUCAUGUUGAAAGAAAAAACAAACAAACAAACAGGAACUGAGUUUGAUAACCAUCCACAAAAAGAUAUUAAAAGAAAGCCGUGAGGCAAGGGUUGAGGUUGUCUCAUGGAGUACAGAGGGAGUUGGAAAACCUAAGUUCACAAAAGGCAAGGCCAGUAGGACUGGUCAGGAGAUAGAGGGCCAUGGAGAAUGUGCCUCAGCUCCACCCACACGCGACUACUACCAUGAGUGACAGCUAAGCAUUGCCUGUCUUUGUUUGUUUGUUUGUUUGUUUGUUUGUU